rnacentral:lncRNA from 1 species
AUGAAAGGAGCUCCGGGGUUGCCACUUCUCGCAGCCGCAAUGGCACUCUGGCACGUGGGACAGGCGUGCACCACAAUCAAAAACUCAACGGUAAUAUCCUUUAACAGCACUAAGCAAGCACUCUUUAAAAACGGAGUGGUAACCAUACCACUGGUCAUAGACCUAAUAUACCCCUACAAAGUUUGCAACGAAGUAUACCACAGUUCGGUACUCGCUGGUAUGUUCAGGUCUGCGGGAAGCCCAACUCAAAGCAGGAAUUACGAGGCAAGGAGCCGCCAAAAACGCGCAAUUCCCUUGCUAGUGGCAGGCGCGGUGGCAGCUUCAUCGUCAGUGGCGACACUCGCUACCAUGCUUUGGGCAAAAUUGAGCUUUGCGGAGUUAAACGGAGAAAUCGAAAAAUUACGGCAAGAUCUCGGAGGAAGAACCAGCUACCUCGAAAAACUAACGAUCGAGAAUAAAGAGGCAAAUAUCAAAAAUUACAUAGCCAUAAGGAGGGAUCUGAAACAAAUAACGACCUUAAUGUCCGAAAACUUAUGUAAAAUACAAAAUUAUACCAGAAUUAUUCUGCUAGAGUCUCAAAUGCUAAACGAAUUCGACGAAAUUAUGGCAGCCCUCCGGACUAAAACCCUUAGCGCAAAACUCCUACCUCCGUCACAAUUACACGCAUUCAUCGACAACUCCCCUCCCUUGCACAACACCCUGUAUACCCAAGCACCCUACCUGCUGUAUUUGCUCGCCGAAGUAAGUUUCGACCUGGAAGAAAUCAAAAUGUCCGAUGGCUCCAUCCUCCGCGGAGUUAUCACAGUGCCAUUAAUCGUCAGGAACGAGAAGAUUAAUACAGAAAUUGCAGCCAAACGCUACGGAGACACAAUUAAAGUAUUCAGGCCAGUACAAGUAGCACAAGAGUCACUGCGCUCAGUCGAACGUUGCGACGAACAACCGGAUUUUUUUGUGUGCACAGAAGCCGACCUAACAGAUGUCCUCUUCAAAGAAGUAACGGACAAGAUGAUAUUUGACAAGGGAAUUGUAAUAGUGGCGCAGAACAACUCAGCAAUGGUAAAUAAAGAAGAAAACGGCGCAAAAACGCAGAUAAUUGGACCAGCGAUUUGUUCCCAAGAAAAUGCGCACUCAGUGACUUUCGAGAACAAGUUAGUCUUCACGCAUUCAAACAUGUUCCACGUGAAGCACAUAGAAUACGAGCUACACCAAGUGCCAUACGAUGUUACCCUUCAACUCAAUGACGACGAAUUGAAGCAACUACAAGAGAAGCUCGACACCCUAACGGACAACACCGAGCCAAAACAACUGGCUCAUUACACGGUCACAAUUGUAUUAGCAAUCACAACAACUUUAGCGCUAGCAUACAUCUGUAGGAAGCAACGAAGUCAAACAAGGGUUGUCAAGCAGCUGGAGCAGAAAGGAAUCGAACUGAACGAGAUUCUGGUCGUAGAGGAGGGGAAUGCGGGAAGUAGAAGAGGGCGCCUAGUCAGAGCCUAG